CAGCAGCCGCGGGAAUACGAAGGGUGCAAGCGUUAAUCGGAAUUACUGGGCGUAAAGCGUGCGUAGGCGGUGAGUUAAGUCUGCUGUGAAAUCCCCGGGCUCAACCUGGGAAUGGCAGUGGAUACUGGCUCGCUAGAGUGUGUCAGAGGAUGGUGGAAUUCCCGGUGUAGCGGUGAAAUGCGUAGAGAUCGGGAGGAACAUCAGUGGCGAAGGCGGCCCCCUGGACAAAGACUGACGCUCAGGUGCGAAAGCGUGGGGAGCAAACAGGAUUAGAUACCCCGGUAGUCCCUGUCUCUUAUAC
rnacentral:rRNA from 1 species